rnacentral:rRNA from 1 species
GAACGCGAAGAACCUUACCCGGGCUUGAAUUGCAGAGGAAGGAUUUAGAGAUAAUGACGCCCUUCGGGGUCUCUGUGAAGGUGCUGCAUGGUUGUCGUCAGCUCGUGCCGUGAGGUGUCGGCUUAAGUGCCAUAACGAGCGCAACCCCUUUUUUCAGUUGCCAUCAGGUAAUGCUGGGCACUCUGGAGAUACUGCCACCGUAAGGUGUGAGGAAGGUGGGGAUGACGUCAAAUCAGCACGGCCCUUACGUCCGGGGCUACACACGUGUUACAAUGGCCGGUACAGAGCGUUGGUUGUGUGCAAAUACGAUCUAAUCCUUAAAGCCGGUCCCAGUUCGGACUGGGGUCUGCAACCCGACCCCACGAAGCUGGAUUCGCUAGUAAUCGCGCAUCAGCCAUGGCGCGGUGAAUACGUUCCCGGGUCUUGUACACACC